rnacentral:rRNA from 1 species
UACGUAGGGGGCAAGCGUUGUCCGGAUUUAUUGGGCGUAAAGAGCUCGUAGGCGGUGUGUCGCGUCGGCCGUGAAAACCUGCAGCUUAACUGUGGGCGUGCGGUCGAUACGGGCAUCACUGGAGUUCGGCAGGGGAGACUGGAAUUCCUGGUGUAGCGGUGAAAUGCGCAGAUAUCAGGAGGAACACCGGUGGCGAAGGCGGUUCUCUGGGCAUUACCUGACGGCUGAGGAGCGAAAGUGUCGGGGAGCGAACAGG